ensembl:snoRNA
GGGCAAGCCUCCAGUGUGUGCGGGUCUGAGGUGACUCUGUGCAUCGUCACAGCACUUACCCGAGCAGUUUUGAAAAGGCUGGAGGUCUUGCUCUGCUCUCUCCGAAACAAGGCUAUAGAAAUUUCAGACAAUU